rnacentral:misc_RNA from 1 species
AAGUCGUAACAAGGUUUCCGUAGGUGAACCUGCGGAAGGAUCAUUAACACGUAUCCAAACGUUAAAACCCCCCCCGUGAACCUGCGUAGUUCGCAAUCUCUGAUAAAUCAUAGCCCGGAAAGUAGUUUUGAUUCAGAGACCUCUGGCCCGUGAGAUUCUUUGAGACGUUACAAUUUUGAGCGGUAGUUCUAUAGGCCUUGUUUCCCCAAGCAGUCAGUGUCUGAAAGUGUCAUUGAUUGUGCAAGGAUAACGCUUCACGAUUCUUGUAGACCGCAUCUCGCGGGCAGGAGCUAGGCCAAAGGGUCCCCAUGCCCCCUUACAACCCCACAGUUUAAUGUGAAGCUCAAUGUAAUACAUUGGGUAAAAAAACCGAACAACUGUUAACAAUGGAUAUCUUGGUUCUC